CAUUUCAGGCUUAGUGUGGAAACCCAAGUGAUGAAUACACAGACCUCAGAAACACCUUGAAACUUUUAAAAUGCAGCCACAGAAAGGAAGGGGAGAAGGAAGGUUCUUUGGACAAGAUGCAGACACCCAGCUCCCUACCGUGCCUGCUUCACCUGCUCUGCAAUCUCGAAAGCCACCUCUUCCCCUAGAGAAGGGCCAACAAGCCUCCACAGCCUCAAAGGUUAUCUUAUGUCAGCUUCGACAGAAAUAAACAGAGGUGCCAACUUGCAGGUCCAAACUCCCCUUCACCAAGAAGUGCCAGCCCAAUGAAUCUUAGAAGACUUGAGCAGCAGCUAUCCUCUGCCAAAUAAAUUUCCCUGACAGCUGAAUAGUUCUACUUUAUCAAGGAACAGGAAGCCAUUCGCCUGUCUUGAGUCCCCUUGAUGGAAAUGCAUAAGGACAGU